CCUCUGAUGCAGCAACGCCGCGUGGAGGAUGACGCAUUUCGGUGUGUAAACUCCUUUUAUGAGGGAAGAUAAUGACGGUACCAUAUGAAUAAGCACCGGCUAACUCCGUGCCAGCAGCCGCGGUAAUACGGAGGUUGCAAGCAUUACUCGUAAUCACUGGGCGUAAAGGGGGCGUAGGCUGUCUUUUAAGUUGGAUGUGAAAUCCUAUGGCUCAACCAUAGAACUGCAUCCAAAACUAUUAGACUAGAGUCUGGGAGGGGAAGAU
rnacentral:rRNA from 1 species